CGGGGAGUGGCGCAGGCUGGUAGCGCACCUGGUUUGGGACCAGGGGGUCGCAGGUUCGAAUCCUGUCUCCCCGACCA
rnacentral:tRNA from 66 species